UACGUAGGGGGCAAGCGUUGUCCGGAUUUAUUGGGCGUAAAGAGCGUGUAGGCGGCCAGAUAGGUCCGUUGUGAAAACUCGAGGCUCAACCUCGAGACGCCGAUGGAAACCAUUUGGCUAGAGUCCGGAAGAGGAGAGUGGAAUUCCUGGUGUAGCGGUGAAAUGCGCAGAUAUCAUGAAGAACACCCGUGGCUAAGGCGGCUCUCUAGUACGGUACUGACGCUGAGACGCGAAAGCGUGGGGAGCGAACAGG
rnacentral:rRNA from 1 species